CAGGCCUAACACAUGCAAGUCGAACGGUAGCACAGAGAGCUUGCUCUCGGGUGACGAGUGGCGGACGGGUGAGUAAUGUCUGGGAAACUGCCCGAUGGAGGGGGAUAACUACUGGAAACGGUAGCUAAUACCGCAUAACGUCUUCGGACCAAAGUGGGGGACCUUCGGGCCUCACACCAUCGGAUGUGCCCAGAUGGGAUUAGCUAGUAGGUGGGGUAAUGGCUCACCUAGGCGACGAUCCCUAGCUGGUCUGAGAGGAUGACCAGCCACACUGGAACUGAGACAUGGUCCAGACUCCUACGGGAGGCAGCAGUGGGGAAUAUUGCACAAUGGGCGCAAGCCUGAUGCAGCCAUGCCGCGUGUAUGAAGAAGGCCUUCGGGUUGUAAAGUACUUUCAGCGGGGAGGAAGGCGAUGUGGUUAAUAACCGCAUCGAUUGACGUUACCCGCAGAAGAAGCACCGGCUAACUCCGUGCCAGCAGCCGCGGUAAU
rnacentral:rRNA from 1 species